rfam:Myotis davidii contig35493, whole genome shotgun sequence.
GGCAGUUCUCAGGUGACACACCCCAGAAUCGAGCUCCCUCCUCUCUGGUUCCAGGGUCACCUGAGAAACACC